rnacentral:rRNA from 1 species
UACGAAGGGGGCUAGCGUUGUUCGGAUUUACUGGGCGUAAAGGGCGCGUAGGCGGGCUGAUCAGUCAGGGGUGAAAUCCCGAGGCUCAACCUCGGAACUGCCUUUGAUACUGGGGAUCUCGAGUCCGGGAGAGGUGAGUGGAACUGCGAGUGUAGAGGUGAAAUUCGUAGAUAUUCGCAAGAACACCAGUGGCGAAGGCGGCUCACUGGCCCGGAACUGACGCUGAGGUGCGAAAGCGUGGGGAGCAAACAGG